rnacentral:rRNA from 1 species
AAAUUGAAGAGUUUGAUCAUGGCUCAGAUUGAACGCUGGCGGCAGGCCUAACACAUGCAAGUCGAACGGUAACAGGAAACAGCUUGCUGUUUCGCUGACGAGUGGCGGACGGGUGAGUAAUGUCUGGGAAACUGCCUGAUGGAGGGGGAUAACUACUGGAAACGGUAGCUAAUACCGCAUAACGUCGCAAGACCAAAGAGGGGGACCCUCGGGCCUCUUGCCAUCGGAUGUGCCCAGAUGGGAUUAG